rnacentral:tRNA from 1 species
GGAGAGGUGGCCGAGUGGCUUAAGGCGCACGCUUGGAAAGCGUGUAUAUGGAAACAUAUCGGGGGUUCGAAUCCCUUUCUCUCCGCGA